CGCGGAUGAAAACUUGAGAAGCGGCGUGGGGUCUGGUGAAGGACGGUCCCGAACGCGGGUGCUGUUGAAACAUCGGGUGAAUAAAUGAGGUGUGCUGCUGUAUGAGAUACUUUUGAGGGCAAACCAGAAUAUUAAAAAAUGCACUGCAGCCUGAAAGGAGAGAAAAAAUCAGAAUCAUGGUGUGGAUCCUGGGGACAGAAGUUACUGUAACAAGUUCUGAAAAAAGCCUUGUGUUUUUUCUUGAUGAAAAGCUGGACCUCUUCAUGGCAUCUUUCUUAGGAGCAACAAGAAACGCAGAGUUAUUUAAAAUACGACUUUGGCAAUUCUGCUCUACCAAAUACUGGUCUGAUGUCAACCCAAGUUUUCUUCGGUUACAGGACUUGGGUCAAUACAGAGUCAAGCUGAACAGAGACGCAGGUCAGCUCUUGCAGGGGAAAAGCAAGGGCAGCGUGGAGCCGCUCCCUACGGCAUCUGGCACCUGAGCCGAUACGAAGUGAGUUGGUAUCUGAGAACUAUAUGGUGAAAUGAUAUUCCUUUUUCUGAUGUGGUAUCUUGGCUUGGAGGUCCUACCAUUUUGGAAAAUCAGAGAUCCACCUGAAGAAUUUGCUUUCUCCUACUCCCCAACCAUCACCCCAAACAUACUGUUA